rnacentral:sRNA from 1 species
AACAAGUUGCGUUAGCGAUUGAAAUGGCAUCCUUUUUUCUUUUUCAGAAAUAAGAUAUAAUGUAAAGCGCGACCUUUA